rnacentral:rRNA from 1 species
AACGAACGCUGGCGGCAUGCCUAACACAUGCAAGUCGAACGAGACCUUCGGGUCUUUUGGCGCACGGGUGCGUAACGCGUGGGAACCUGCCCUUAGGUUCGGAAUAACUCCCCGAAAGGGGUGCUAAUACCGGAUAAUGUCUUCGGACCAAAGAUUUAUCGCCUUUGGUUGGGCCCGCGUUGGAUUAGCUUGUUGGUAGGGUAAAAGCUUACUAAGGCGACGAUCCAUAGCUGGUUUGAGAGGAUGAUCAGCGACACUGGGACUGAGACACGGCCCAGAAUCCUACGGGAGGGAGGAGUGGGGAACAUUGGAAAAUGGGGGAAAGCCUGAUCCAGCAAUGCCGCGUGAGUGAUGAAGGCCGUAGGGUUGUAAAGCUCUAUUACCCGGGAUGAUAAUGACGGUACCGGGUGAAUAAGCUCCGGCUAACUCCGUG